ACGGGUGAGUAAUGUCUGGGAAACUGCCCGAUGGAGGGGGAUAACUACUGGAAACGGUAGCUAAUACCGCAUAACGUCGCAAGACCAAAGAGGGGGACCUUCGGGCCUCUUGCCAUCGGAUGUGCCCAGAUGGGAUUAGCUAGUAGGUGGGGUAACGGCUCACCUAGGCGACGAUCCCUAGCUGGUCUGAGAGGAUGACCAGCCACACUGGAACUGAGACACGGUCCAGACUCCUACGGGAGGCAGCAGUGGGGAAUAUUGCACAAUGGGCGCAAGCCUGAUGCAGCCAUGCCGCGUGUAUGAAGAAGGCCUUCGGGUUGUAAAGUACUUUCAGCGAGGAGGAAGGCGUUGUGGUUAAUAACCGCAACGAUUGACGUUACUCGCAGAAGAAGCACCGGCUAACUCCGUGCCAGCAGCCGCGGUAAUACGGAGGGUGCAAGCGUUAAUCGGAAUUACUGGGCGUAAAGCGCACGCAGGCGGUCUGUCAAGUCGGAUGUGAAAUCCCCGGGCUCAACCUGGGAACUGCAUCCGAAACUGGCAGGCUAGAGUCUUGUAGAGGGGGGUAGAAUUCCAGGUGUAGC
rnacentral:rRNA from 1 species